GAAUAUUGGACAAUGGGGGCCACCCUGAUCCAGCCAUGCCGCGUGUGUGAAGAAGGCCUUUUGGUUGUACAGCACUUUAAGCAGUGAAGAAGACUCCAUGGUUAAUCCCCAUGGACGAUGCCAUUGGCUGCAGAAUACGCACCGGCUAACUCUGUCCCACCCCCCGCGGUAAUACAGAGGGUGCAAGCGUUAAUCGGAAUUACUGGGCGUAAAGCGAGCGUAGGUGGCUUGAAAAGUCAGAUGUGAAAUCCCCGGGCUGAACCUGGGAACCGCAGCUGAUACUGUUAGGCUAGAAGAGGUGAGAGGAAGGUAGAAGUCCAGGUGUAGCGGUGAAAUGCGUAGAGAGCUGGAGGAAUACCGAUGGCGAAGGCAGCCUUCUGGCAUCAUAUUGACACUGAGGUUCGAAAGCGUGGGUAGCAAAC
rnacentral:rRNA from 1 species